rnacentral:rRNA from 1 species
AUUGAACGCUGGCGGCAGGCCUAACACAUGCAAGUCGAGCGGAUGAAGGGAGCUUGCUCCUGGAUUCAGCGGCGGACGGGUGAGUAAUGCCUAGGAAUCUGCCUGGUAGUGGGGGAUAACGUCCGGAAACGGGCGCUAAUACCGCAUACGUCCUGAGGGAGAAAGUGGGGGAUCUUCGGACCUCACGCUAUCAGAUGAGCCUAGGUCGGAUUAGCUAGUUGGUGGGGUAAAGGCCUACCAAGGCGACGAUCCGUAACUGGUCUGAGAGGAUGAUCAGUCACACUGGAACUGAGACACGGUCCAGACUCCUACGGGAGGCAGCAGUGGGGAAUAUUGGACAAUGGGCGAAAGCCUGAUCUAGCCAUGCCGCGUGUGUGAAGAAGGUCUUCGGAUUGUAAAGCACUUUGAGUUGGGAGGAAGGGCAGUAAGUUAAUACCUUGCUGUUUUGACGUUACUAACAGAAUAAGCACCGGCUAACUUCGUG